rnacentral:rRNA from 1 species
CCUACGGGUGGCUGCAGUCGAGAAUCAUUCACAAUGGGGGAAACCCUGAUGGUGCGACGCCGCGUGGGGGAAUGAAGGUCUUCGGAUUGUAAACCCCUUUCAUGUGGGAGCAAAUUAAAAAGAUAGUACCACAAGAGGAAGAGACGGCUAACUCUGUGCCAGCAGCCGCGGUAAUACAGAGGUCUCAAGCGUUGUUCGGAAUCACUGGGCGUAAAGCGUGCGUAGGCUGUUUCGUAAGUCGUGUGUGAAAGGCGCGGGCUCAACCCGCGGACGGCACAUGAUACUGCGAGACUAGAGUAAGGGAGGGGGAACCGGAAUUCUCGGUGUAGCAGUGAAAUGCGUAGAUAUCGAGAGGAACACUCGUGGCGAAGGCGGGUUCCUGGACAUUAACUGACGCUGAGGCACGAAGGCCAGGGGAGCGAAAGGGAUUAGAUACCCCUGUAGUC